rnacentral:ncRNA from 1 species
GCCGAUUCGAUGACGGGGAUGAGUAGUGGGUGGAAGCUAUGGACAGAGAGCCGGGACAGGUGAAAGCCGGCAUAGCGGAAGCCGAUGAAAUGGCCCCCGAGUAUUCUCUUUGAACCGGACCGUUGUCCCAAAGUAGGAGAGAACGUUUUCCCGCGUUACGGGAGCAGAGUGGGUGAUCGCCUUUUCUUGUGCGAUGAAGCCAAAUUGGGUGGUACCGCGAGACCGGAUCUCGUCCCAACG